rnacentral:rRNA from 1 species
UGGGGAAUAUUGCACAAUGGGCGAAAGCCUGAUGCAGCAACGCCGCGUGAGGGACGACGGCCUUCGGGUUGUAAACCUCUUUUAGCAAGGAAGAAGCGAAAGUGACGGUACUUGCAGAAAAAGCGCCGGCUAACUACGUGCCAGCAGCCGCGGUAAUACGUAGGGCGCAAGCGUUAUCCGGAAUUAUUGGGCGUAAAGAGCUCGUAGGCGGUUUGUCGCGUCUGCUGUGAAAACCCGAGGCUCAACCUCGGGCCUGCAGUGGGUACGGGCAGACUAGAGUGCGGUAGGGGAGAUUGGAACUCCUGGUGUAGCGGUGGAAUGCGCAGAUAUCAGGGAGAACACCGAUGGCGAAGGCAGAUCUCUGGGCCGUAACCGACGCUGAGGAGCGAAAGGGUGGGGAGCAAACAGGCUUAGAUACCCUGGUAGUCCACCCCGUAAACGUUGGGAACUAGUUGUGGGGUCCAUUCCACGGAUUCCGUGACGCAGCUAACGCAUUAAGUUCCCCCGCCUGGGGAGUACGGCCGCAAGGCUAAAACUUAAAU